rnacentral:rRNA from 1 species
GACGAACGCUGGCGGCGUGCUUAACACAUGCAAGUCGUACGGUAAGGCCCUUUCGGGGGUACACGAGUGGAGAACGGGUGAGUAACACGUGAGUAACCUGCCAACAACUUUGGGAUAACGCUAGGAAACUGGUGCUAAUACUGGAUAUGUGCUCCUGCUGCAUGGUGGGGGUUGGAAAGCUCCGGCGGUUGUGGAUGGACUCGCGGCCUCUCAGCUUGUUGGUGGGGUAGUGGCCUACCAAGGCGGCGACGGGUAGCCGGCCUGAGAGGGUGACCGGCCACAGUGGGACUGAGAUACGGCCCAGACUCCUACGGGAGGCAGCAGUGGGGAAUAUUGCACAAUGGGCGCAAGCCUGAUGCAGCAACGCCGCGUGCGGGAUGACGGCCUUCGGGUUGUAAACCGCUUUCAGCAGGGACGAAGCUUUUUGUGACGUUACCUUCAGAAGAAGCACCGGCUAACUACGUG